rnacentral:misc_RNA from 1 species
ACAAACUUGGUCAUUUAGAGGAAGUAAAAGUCGUAACAAGGUUUCCGUAGGUGAACCUGCGGAAGGAUCAUUGCUGAUACGGACGCACACGCUGUGGGUCGGUGUUCGCCACCGUCACGCUCGAGUGCGUCUUCCUAUCACCCCGCCCCUUUGUGAACUUGGCUGCACGUGAGGCGCCUUCGAUCACACCCGACGGCUGAGCUGGGGCCCAGCCGUCGCGUCGGUGUUCUUCAUGUGUGGCCCACCCAACUGUAUUUUUGCGUGUCUCACAGACUGAAGCAAAAAAACAAAAUCAUUUACAACUUUUAACAAUGGAUAUCUUGGCUCGCGCAUCGAUGAAGAACGCAGC